AACGAACGCUGGCGGCAGGCCUAACACAUGCAAGUCGGGCGGGCGUCCUUUCGGGGGCGUCAGCGGCGGACGGGUUAGUAACGCGUGGGAACGUGCCCUUCGCUACGGAACAGUCCCGGGAAACCGGGGUUAAUGCCGUAUGCGCCCUUUGGGGGAAAGGUUUAUCCGGCGAGGGAUCGGCCCGCGUCCGAUUAGGUAGUUGGUGGGGUAACGGCCCACCAAGCCGACGAUCGGUAGCUGGUUUGAGAGGAUGAUCAGCAACACUGGGACUGAGACACGGCCCAGACUCCUACGGGAGGCAGCAGUGGGGAAUCUUGGACAAUGGGGGCAACCCUGAUCCAGCCAUGCCGCGUGGACGAUGAA
rnacentral:rRNA from 1 species